rnacentral:rRNA from 1 species
AGUGAACGCUGGUGGUAGGCCUAACACAUGCAAGUCGAACGGCAGCACAGUAAGAGCUUGCUCUUACGGGUGGCGAGUGGCGGACGGGUGAGGAAUACAUCGGAAUCUACUUUUUCGUGGGGGAUAACGUAGGGAAACUUACGCUAAUACCGCAUACGACCUACGGGUGAAAGCAGGGGAUCUUCGGACCUUGCGCGAUUGAAUGAGCCGAUGUCGGAUUAGCUAGUUGGCGGGGUAAAGGCCCACCAAGGCGACGAUCCGUAGCUGGUCUGAGAGGAUGAUGAGCCACACUGGAACUGAGACACGGUCCAGACUCCUACGGGAGGCAGCAGUGGGGAAUAUUGGACGAUGGGCGCAAGCCUGAUCCAGCCAUACCGCGUGGGUGAAGAAGGCAUUCGGGUUGUAAAGCUCUUUUGUUGGGAAAGAAAAGCAGCAGGUUAAUACCCCGCUGUUCUGACGGUACCCAAAGAAUAAGCACCGGCUAACUUCGUG